AGCACCUGGGAAUUAAACUUCUGAGAUGAGCCAAGAGUGUCAUCCCUUCCUUAACCCAAACUUCCUCUCCUAGGACUGCAGCAAAGGAAGAAUUUAGAAUGGAUGGGAAGCCUGAGAUAACAAAGAGGAUUUCCCUUUGAUUGUCAACUGUCAGAGCUGGGAUUCCCAGCCGUGGUCUGUUUCUGGACCCACCAUUCUUCCCUGACCUUCUGUUUUGUACAUCAUCCUAAAGGCCACGGCUGCUCUGAGAGAGUGGGGAUGACUCAAGAGAACGUGACCCCCAGUAUCUGGAAAGCAGGCCUCCAGCACGGCGGGGAGGAGGACAGGGGUGUGCAGGCCCUGCUGGCGUCCCAAGCCGCCAUCUUGAAUCAGCCACAUCGCUCAUCUGUGUGUUCCCAGUUACCAGUGUGAAACCAGACUCCAAGCACUGGAGGCUCGAUUGGUUGACUGUCUUGUUGGGUUGCGCAAAGACUGGCCCCAAGAGAGACAGGCCACCCCGAUUCCUGUGACUUAGAGCCUCGGUGGAUGCACCUGCUUUAAAUCUGUGGACUCCAUCUCCUGAAUGCACGAGGCUCGCUGGACUUGGACUCCCUGAUGAUGAAGGAUCUGGGUACUGGCUCAUGGACGUUUAUCCCAGAGAAAGGAAGACUCGGUUGGACACCAAUGCAAAUGUUGAUAGGAUCCUAAACCUAAAAGCAACCCAGAAGUCCUUCACCAGGUGAAUGGCUAACCUGACUGCCAUCCCUUCACACAAUAGAGUAAUAUUACUAGGCUCUCAAAAGGAUAAGCUGCUGGCACAGGUAGGCAGUUGGGCUAACCUCCAGCAAACUAUGCUGAACGGGUGGCACUCCUUUAAGACGGGACUUCAAGAUCAAACCGAGGGCCUCGGUGCCUGCCAGGCAAGCAACUCUGCCACUGAGCUACAUGGAGUCCCAGCCCUGAAAAUGAGCAGUCUCAAAAGGUCACGUGUGAGUCCAUUUAUAAUCACAAAAUAGAUAUCAACUCAUAGAAACAGAGACUAGGGAUGAGGAGUGGGAGGACAGUGAACGUAGCUUCACGAGGGCCUGGGAGGGACCGGAUGCUGGAAAUAGUCCGCAUCACAAUAAAUAGCAAUAACCCGGCUAUGACAGAGUGCUACAUAGUUUCAAAAGACCUUCUCCCUGGGAGGAUAAAAGCACAGGAAAAUUUGUAUAGUAUUUGUUACCACCUCGUGUAAAUCUACAAUUUUCUCUAAAUACAAACUGCAAUUAGCUCUGUAGAUCUUGGUCCUUACAGAGCCAGUCCUGGUCCUGAAGCAAUGGUUCUGUACCAUACAGGUUCAAGUUGGUAUAAGAUCUUCUUUGACUUAACAUUGUGUGGUCUUGGAAACAGGCCCCUUCUCCGGGUUUGAAUGCAAGCAAUGGAUUUACUUCCUCCAAGGCCCUGGAGGCCUUCUCUUGUUUUGUUUUGUCUGAGGAAGGGGUUCUAACUCAGAGAGUGGAGGAUGACUUUGGACUUCUUCUGGUUCCUCUGCCCAACCUCUUGAAUGCUGGGAUGACAGGCAUGAGGUACUAGGGGUUAAACCCAGGGUCUCCGGGGUGUGAGGCCAGCAUGCUACCAACGCAGCUACAUCCUAAGCCUUGCUGAAGUUAUUUUUAGCAUAGUAACAUCAAGCCGAUGGCUCUCCACAGAGGCUUUCCUCAACAGAGAGCACAUCUCUGUAAGACUCCAUGGGCUAUCCUUUUUUUGUGCGGUCUCACAUCCCGUCUUCCUUCCCAGGAGUCCCAAUCCCUGCCUGGCAGAAGGCAGCCAAGGCCUGAGAGAUGCUGAGUCCAGGAAGCCAGAGAAGGGUGACUGAAGGGUGCGGCUGUCUUUCUCCCCACCCCCCAUUCCC